rnacentral:lncRNA from 1 species
GCUCUAUCUGCAGAAGGCACGAUUAGCCAGUAAGCAGUCCCAAAAGAGAAAGUUCAGAGAGGGAACACGUGAGUGGGAAAAGAAAGACAGACAGACAAAGCGCUCAGCAGCAGCUGGUCUGGGAGCCUGGACCCUCACCUCUAAUCUUGGUUUCUGCCGUCAAUGGGGAAGAAAUGCCACAAUUUACAUGACAAGGGCCAAAGGAGAGAAUUAUGGCAAAUCAAUUCUGCAUGAGGAGAUAAAGCCCCAUAUUUAAUGUAUGCUGUGAAAGGUGGAAAUUCAAUUCUCAUAAUGUCAGAUGAUGCUGAUUAAAACUGACAUUCAUGAUUAGUAUG